AUGGGGUGCGGAUACGGGGUGUGGGGUUGGGGAUGGGGGUGGGAUAGGGGUGCGGAUGGGGGGGUGCGGAUAGGGGGGUGUGGGGGUGUGGAUGGGGGUGGGGGAUGGGGGUGUGGAUGGGGUGCGGACAGGGGGUGUGGGGUUGGGGAUGGGGGUGCGGAUGGGGGGGUGCGGAUAGGGGGGUGUGGGGAUGUGGAUGGGGGUGGGGGGAUGGGGGUGGGAUGGGGUGCGGACAGGGGGUGUGGGGUUGGGGAUGGGGGUGGGAUGGGGGUGCGGAUGGGGGUGUGUGUGGGGGGGUGUGGGGGUGCGGUGUGGAUGGGGUGGGGGUGUUGGGGUGCGGAUAGGGGGUGGGGGGUGCGUUUGGGGGUGUGGAUGGGGGUGCGGUUGGGGGUGGGGAGGAUGGGGGUGCGGAUGGGGGGGCCUGGCGGGAAGAUGUCAGCACCCCGGAGGGGGGGAGGCUCGCCUUCGGGAGGUCUGCGGGGGGAGGCGGUUCCUUGCUUCCUUUCAAAGGGAGACCUGGGCGCAGAGGGGCGGGUUCACCCCGGGGUGGGGGCGGCAAGUUUCCAGCGCAGGGGUGCCGGGGGCGGUCGAGGACAGGCGGGUCACACCCCCAGUCCCGCCGCCGGCGGAGGCGUCCAGGGGAGCCAGUGUCCGGCGCGCCCCCCGCCCCGGGUCCCGCGGGCCCCCCUUCCCCUCCCCCCUCCCCCCGCCCCCCUCCCCCUCCCGCGGGGCCGGGCUCACUCACCCGCGCUCCGGCCUCGGGGUCCCCGGCGGGCGGCGGCGGCGGCGGGCCGGGGGUGCGCGCGGCUGGGGUCGGGGUGCGCGCGGCGGGCGGGGGCGGGGGCGGGCGCGGGGGCCCCGGGCGCGGGCGGCAGGAGCAGCAGCAGCAGCAGCAGCGGCGAGGCCAUGGUGGCGCCCGGCCCCGCUCACAUGCCGGCCGCGGGCGCGGGGAGCGGGCGAGUGAGGCCGGAGCGCAGUCCCCGCCUCAAAAGUUGUGGGGCGCCGCGGGGGGCGGGGCGGGGGCGGGGCGGGGCGGGGCGGGGCGGCUCCCGGCGGCUGCGUCACCCGCGGGCGGGGACUCCGGGCCCCGCGCCCCGCCCCCCGCCCCGGCCUCGCCCCCGGGACCCGGACCCGCGU
rnacentral:lncRNA from 1 species